ensembl:lncRNA
GUCCGCAAUGUAGUUUCAAGAAAGGUUGUUGAUGAGCUCAACGACAAUCAAAUGACACCCCUCCCUUCCAUGCUCCUGAAACCCGGUGUUGAUUGGCUGGGAUUGGUUAUGGCUUGGUCUGAGCCACUAUGUUUGUUUCCCAUUUACAGAGCCAGGACUGUGUACGAACACCGGACCUUUUUUGAACGCAAACGCUGAACAGACAGCUAGACAACCGUGAGGAGCAAUUCUAUGAAUUUGACGAAAAGUGUAUGGGAUCAUAAUCCUGGACUGCACCUUUAAAAGAUAGGAGGCAGGGCAUCUGAGGAGACUUGCAGCCUAUGGGAAGUCUCUGGGUGAUUCUCAUUUCCUUUAUUUGUCAAUCCUCCCUUCCUUCCUUCCUUUCUUUCUUACGUCCAUGCCCCUUUAUAAAAACGUGAAGGAAACAAGGAAGGAAUGCAACGGAGAUAGAGGACAGAUAUAUGAGAAAUGGGAUGUGCUUGCUCACACUCAUCACUUUUAAGAGACGUCAAUUACUGAUGACAGCAGCAUCACCUCUUGCUAAACUAAACGUUAUAUACAGCAUGUCAGAAAUGAACGACUUUAAGAUCAAUCAAAGUGUAAUUUCUACUAGUAAUUGUCAUCGGAGACAAUUAGGGUUGUUUCAAUUUAAACCUACACUGACACAGGUCUAAAUUUAAUUUCGUUAUUCAUCACCAUUAUUUUCUUUGUCUAUUAUGCCAAAUGCUGAUCACAAUUGCAGAGAUCUCCAUUUAAAUCCAUAGGCUAGAUGUGUUAUUACAUGAAGUCCAACCUAUAGAGUACAGCAGAAUAUAAUACACUAUACAAUUAUAUAGAGCAAAGUAUUAUAGUGAAAGACACGACUGCACACCAGCAAGUAUUAAUCUUUUAAAAACAGCAUGUUAAGAAGGAAAAGCUCGAAUUACUUUAAACAAACUAGACAGGAGGCCUUCCAUACCACAGCUGCUGAAGUCCGCUAGAAUUCUCCAUUAACAAAUCCUGUUAACAAGGUGUGAUAAUCUGCUGUUCUCAUGACAUGGUAUAAAUGAAUUGUUGAUUAACCACGGACCUCUAGGCAACACUUUCAUCAAUGUUUCAUUACAGUUGGCAUAUUUCAUGAUAAUUCAAGCAUAUUCAAGCCUACUGACUCCAAAAGGACACGUCACGCCUUGUUACCAUAAAUAUGAGAUUCAUCUGUAAAAAAGACCUCCGCAUAGGAUGCUCUUAUGUCUCCUCACUCUUAGGCCCUCCGUCCUCCCUCCUCGUCUCCUCUGGCAACAAUUUGAGAAAUUAGACAUCCUUCAUGAAGUCAGACUUUGCACAAGCUUGAGGACUGAUUAACGAGGACAGAGAGAGCAUGCAAAUAACAGCAUGGGAUGUACCUUCUGUGUGGCAUCAGGCAGGGCAGCCUAGACCUUCACCACCCGGUCGAGUCAAAACAUAAACACAUUUCCCUUUCAAAUAGAGCCUGUGCUCUCCCUUCACACCUCAAACCUCCAUUUCACUUGCUAAAUGUUUGAGGAUGACAGAGAUGGCAAAGUUUGCAUGAAAAUGUGAAGGGGGGAAAAUAAAUUAAAAAAAAGAGAGUAGAGAGGGAAUACUUCAUCAGCCCCCGUUUAUCAGGCAUUUUUGCAUACGGCUAAACACGAAAGACGGGAAAGAUGUUUCAGUUCAAAUCCGCACAAGAUACCAGUUGUAAUCUAGACACCCACCGUUACUGAAAUAUGUUUGAUUGAUUGAUUGAUUAAAGACUUUUUGCUUUAGGGCCAUUUAUUUUUGUCAUUUAUUUAAAAGUUUCCUUAGCUAACUAGCUUGCAUAAAAACUAGGCAACCAUAGCGACGAAAAAACAGUUUGCAGCCAUGGUCUGGUCGUUGUGGCGCCAUAUCCAGCAAACUCAGUUAAAAGAAACAGCUGUAAAGCCUGGCAAGCGAUGCGUGUAUUCAUUGAUUUUCAAUUAUUAAACUUAGAACUGCAACAGGGAAAUGUCCAACAUUGACUUUGACAGCUGUUUAUUUUCACAGAGAUACUUUGCAACAUGAUCACACAACGUCCAUUUAUUCAUUGACCAGACAAAUAGCCUGGAACUAAUUAAAUUCUUCAAAAUCAGCUCACAGAUCAAAGACAGUCUUGGGCUCAAAGUGAUCACAAACACUUGCAGAUGAUGUUAAAUGGCUCCCCAUAGAGAAAUAAUGGGACAUCAGUGGGGCAAGGGCUUACUCAUGAUAUCAACAUAGUGAAUAAGGUGGGAAAAGUCACCCUCCCCUUUGCACUACUCCAAGACUAUUCCCACUUAAAGUACCACUAUGCAACAAUUUGACACUUUUUGAGAUAUGGUUUUAUAGGCAACUAGUUUUGGUACCAUCCUCAAAUUCAUUUUGAUAGCAUAUGGUCAUGUGAAGGACCUGUGUCUUCCCCUGUGCCAUCCAGGAUAUGCCCUAUUGGUUCUGUGUAACGGGCUGGUACACCCUGCAAAUAUGGAAUAAAAGCUUUCACACGCAUGACAUUGCCAGCUAAACUGCCAAAAGACACCAGUUAGUGUGUUGGCAAGCUUCUAUCAGUGUCAGCUGGGCUGUUGGUGGUGUCUGCAAGGUUUUUACAUGCCUUUUAGGUAGUUAGCUUACUAGUUUUGGAACAGAACUCCGUAUUGCUGCUUUAAGGCAUGGCGUAGGAUUGCCGUUCUUGUUACUAGGGGAUAAAAUGAAAGAUGGAUUAACGACACCGGCUCCUAUUCCCACUUGAUGCCAAUACGGCACACACCGUCAAAUUACGGAUUUCAAUGUAAGUGUGAAUGAUGCCAGAGAGAGAGAGAGAGAGAGAGAGAAAGGCAGAAAAACAAACAGCACCAAAUGUUUCAAAAGUAAUUUGAAAAGAAUGCCAUUAAAACAAAGCAAGGACUCUGCUCUGUAAACAGACCAUACUUGCAUACAACAUGCAACAUUGAACCAGUUGCUCUAAUUUUUUUUAACUAAAACUAUUCACUGCUUAUCCUAUUUGUCCACAUUAUCUAGAAGUGUUGUUGUCAAGUAACAGCCAGGUACAGUGAGUUCUGCAACCUCUAACUGUAAUACCAUAGAAAUGAACUAGUUUUAUGAACUAGUCAAUCAUGUUAUAUAUAUAUUUGAGCAAAGUGACCCCGGGCAUUGACUAACUGGCCAACAUUUGUAAAGAGAAACAAAGUGACAUGCUUCGCUUACACUCAACAUAAUCCUAAAAAUCAACAUCAACUCAAAAACAGACAAGGGGAGCAGCACUCACCUUCCAAGUUCCAGGUCACUGUUUGUUUCUAGGUGAACUACCGUCCGGUGCGGAAAGAAAGAAAGUGCGCACCUUGCCUAACCAGGCUUUUAAACUCCGCACGCCCUCACUUCAAAAGCACGCCUUCUCUUGCGGCCCCACGUCACGGGGGCGAAAACACUAUACACCCAACAUAGAAUUUGGAUUCAUAUCUUCGUCAGGAAGUAGCUGCAUUUAUUAAAUACGGAACAUUCUAAAUAUACAUUAUGAAACUACAACUUUGUUUUUCGGGCAGGACCAUUAUGCCAUUUGGUCUCUGUUGACUCUGGCUCUCAAAUUCCAUUUGAUGGUCGAUUUCUAUGUACCCUACAACGCUGCGAAUAAUCAAACUGAAUUUAACUCCAAACCUCCUAUCAGAUUUAACACAACAAUCUGUUCUUAACGAAAGAGCAUGGUACUGCUCAAUGACUACACUUAAAUGUAAACUACAACAAUGGAAAAGACCUAGGACCUAAAUUCCUGAAGCUGAGCCGGAGGCCAUUUCAAGACUUUAAAGACAAGCUAGCAGAAAGAUCUCAAGACAUCGUAAAGACAUAAAAUAGACAACGUCACCAUUUCCAUGAAUGUCGGAGCCAAGGAGAAUCGCACUUUUCCUUCAAAACGUAUAGUCAUGUGCAUGUAGCCUAUCAUACAUGGGUUCUUACGCAUCGACUUUUACAUUUACUUAGGUAUUAAACCCACCUUACACACAGACUCAGGUUUGACACAUUUAGGGGAGACAUUGAUAGCCUACCACUUCCCAGUGAAGAGGUUAACAGGAUACAAGUAUAGCCUUCGUAUGGGCAAAUUAUUUGAGUCUAUCAAAUGUACUACAAAUCUUCGGGUCAGAAUUUCUCUGGGCACCACUAUCAAUCCCACUGGAACAACAUGUCAUUGACCGUACGAUUUAUUAGUGGUGGUUUAGGAAUAAAAAUGACUUUCUUCUUCUAUGUUCAAUGUCUUCAGCCUAUACCAUUACGGUGAACUUGAACAAGACCAAAAGUCAAGUUUCCCACACUACGACCGACCACAAUUUCAAAAUCUUGCAAAUUAAUCCUCAUACGAUUACGAUUGAAAUACCUGAACUGGAUUGUGAUACAACGCCAUGCUCGCAAUCAUUUCCCCCCAUGAUGGCCAUUAGCUAAUUGAAGUAACCAAACGUUACAUUCUGCGCACCACUUUUCCAGGAAAACGGUAAACUGCCUUAAUUUACUAAAAUGUUUGUCAAGCUAUGCUUAAAAGGCAAAGUUAAAGCAAACUUCACAUACAUACCUGCGCAUGACGACAAACAGGUCGAUCGACUUUUAACAUAAACCAGGACUUCCGAAAAGUUUAAUCUUAUGUGCUCAACACGGGGGAAAAGUUGGCCUCGUUUAUAGCCUAACUACUAGCCUAACUACUACCCACACAAGUCCCACCCCGUCCCACGACAUCAACAUACAAACCAGUUCACUUUGUCAGAAGCAAAAAGUGUGGUAACGUGACUGCUUACCGUAUAAGUGCUCCACGAAUGCAUGGAGUCCGAUUGAAGAGCCAAGAUAUUCCCAAAUCUCCUGGUAGCCUGCAAUGGGCUCACGACUAGGGAUCUUUUCUCCCACUGGCUGUCAGCAAAUACUGCGUGAUAUCUCGACUUCGAACACGCUUUCCACCCAAAUUAUCUGAACAGUGUUGCUCUUGCCUUGAUGGAGCAGCCUUGACUCGGGGUCUCUCGGAGAGACCGAUCAGAAUAUGACUUAAACCACAGAGCCCUAGAAAACAAUCACACAUCGUUGACACGGCUUCAUGUUUCAUUUGCAGCCCGGCGGCUUGUCCUUUUCAGGUGGAAGAGAUCCAUACACAAGGCAAACACUCAAGGCAGUUGAUAAGUAGCGAAUGAGCUAACAGGCAGAGCAGUUAGCCGCGUGUCUCAAUAUCCUCUUCCCUCUCAGUCUGUGGCACGUUACUUUAGGACUAUCCACAUAUCGCUAUAUCUUGUACAGUACAAAGGAGAAACUUUUCGAUGGCUUCUGCUACCCCCGUCUAUUACCCAAACACAAUGUCAGGAAAGCGAAGUGCGGCAGAAUUGCGUCAGCAGCAUAUUUGUUUGAGACAUAAACCACCUCAACGGACAUCAAAUCGUUUCAAAAACAGUGAAAUUAAAUAAAUAAACAACAUACAAAAUACACCUCCCCUCUACGAAUUGCUCGGAGAGGUGGUCCACACUGCCCCUCAGGAAGUGCGUCAUCAGUAAGGACC